rnacentral:rRNA from 1 species
AGUGAACGCUGGCGGUAGGCCUAACACAUGCAAGUCGAACGGCAGCACAGUAAGAGCUUGCUCUUACGGGUGGCGAGUGGCGGACGGGUGAGGAAUACAUCGGAAUCUACUUUUUCGUGGGGGAUAACGUAGGGAAACUUACGCUAAUACCGCAUACGACCUACGGGUGAAAGCAGGGGAUCUUCGGACCUUGCGCGAUUGAAUGAGCCGAUGUCGGAUUAGCUAGUUGGCGGGGUAAAGGCCCACCAAGGCGACGAUCCGUAGCUGGUCUGAGAGGAUGAUCAGCCACACUGGAACUGAGACACGGUCCAGACUCCUACGGGAGGCAGCAGUGGGGAAUAUUGGACAAUGGGCGCAAGCCUGAUCCAGCCAUACCGCGUGGGUGAAGAAGGCCUUCGGGUUGUAAAGCCCUUUUGUUGGGAAAGAAGAGCAGCAGGUUAAUACCCCGCUGUUCUGACGGUACCCAAAGAAUAAGCACCGGCUAACUACGUG